AACGAACGCUGGCGGCAGGCUUAACACAUGCAAGUCGAACGCCCCGCAAGGGGAGUGGCAGACGGGUGAGUAACGCGUGGGAACGUGCCCUUCGGUUCGGAAUAGUCCCGGGAAACUGGGUUUAAUACCGGAUACGCCGUAUUGGGAAAGAUUUAUCGGCGAAGGAUCGGGCCCGCGUUAGAUUAGGUAGUUGGCGGUGUAAUGGACCACCAAGCCUACGAUCUAUAGCUGGUCUGAGAGGAUGAUCAGCCACACUGGGACUGAGACACGGCCCAGACUCCUACGGGAGGCAGCAGUGGGGAAUCUUGGACAAUGGGCGAAAGCCUGAUCCAGCCAUGCCGCGUGAGUGAAGAAGGCCUUAGGGUUGUAAGACUCUUUCGCCGGAGAAGAUAAUGACGGUAUCCGGAGAAGAAGCCCCGGCUAACUUCGUGCCAGCCGCCGCAGUAAGAC
rnacentral:rRNA from 1 species